CUAAUGAAGGGAUGACCUCUCACAGGUGCCAAGCAUUUCAAGCUCUUGCCUAGCCCAAAUGCAAUCACUGAACCUAGCUGCAAAGCACCUAGACCCACACCUGAGGCUUGUCUCUACCUCACGAGAUCUCUACAGAGCUAGGGCAGUCACAGCUGAGCCUGGCCACUGCCUUCUCUUGGAGAGAGCCCACCUCCCAGCUUGUCCUCCUGCAGACCAGCCUUUGAAAUCAGACUGGAAGAUGCAGCUGCGUCCCUAAAAUGGCUGCGCUGUGGUAGACUGCAGUCGUGCUGCCUUCUCCCAGCUGAGAACACCCCAAAUAAUGCUGUACUCAGCAAAAGCCUGUGCACCUGGAAUAGCUGUCUCUGAGCAGUUUUUCCUCGCAAAAAUGUGCAGAGUGCUUCACCCUGGAGCUUUUGACUGAAAUGGAGGAUGAAGGGAAUCUGGUGGGUACCAAGGACAAACUCUUUAAGGUUGUAGGAAAUCAGAAUCUGGGGAAGGGAGCACCAGCCAGGGCUGAAUGUGGGGACCCAGAUUUCUCCUAUGGUAAAGGAAGAAAAACUCUGUAGUCUAACUUGCUGCAUGCUCUGUGCUUCUAGAUUUUUGGAAGACCCUCUCUGUGAUCCCUGAAGGUGAUGGCAAUAGAGCUGUCCUGUUGCCCACCUUGGUUGAGAGAUCAUACUGCACGCUGAGAUCCAAGGAGAAGCUAGCAGAGGGAUACAUAACACUCUGAAUUAAUGCAUUAGGUUUCCAAAUAAUUGUGGAUUUCUGCAGUUUGCCAGUGUUGGUUGAUACACCCAGAGAACAGCAUGCCUUUUCUGAGCUGCAGCGGGAGAGGCUUGUUCUGUGGACGUGAUGAUUUGGCAUUCCCCACGGGAUGGUCCACUUGGGGGCAUGUUUGCCAAAAGUCCUGUGAGGUCCUGCUGUAAUUACUAUUAUGGAGAUCAUUUUAGAGUGAAGCAGGUGCUGAGAGGUGACAUUUGAGGCUGGGUGGAGUUGAGAUGCCUGAUUAAUUGCUACAGUUAAUUAAAUCCACCUCUGAAAGCUGAGAGAGGUGGAGGUGCUGGUUGAGGAGACGUGCAAGUGCAACAUUGCAAACUCCUCAGGUGAGCUCCAAAAUGUUGGAGCUUGCUUGAUGCUGGUGUCCUUCUGGAGGCAAAUCUCUCUCCCAAUCUCAAUAGUUACUGGGCCUGGACACUUCAAGGGACUGCAUUAAGCUUCAGAUCUUCAUCCAUGUGAACCCAAGGCAGACUAACAGUAGCUGUAAGAAAGCAAGCUAAGUCAACGGGUGGCUGCUCUUUGCAGCAGCCUCCGUUGUGGCACCCACAUCACAAAACACACUCACUGCUGUCAGUUAUGUGGCUCGGCAGAGCGCCUUGCUGCAGAUGCUGAACAUCUGCGCUCCUCUCCUGCGAGAAAUUCAGCCCUGCAGGUCAGGGCUGGGCUGAGCUGAGGUGGCCUGGCAGCCAAGGUGCCCGUAAAGAGAUCACGUUUUUCAUCAGCUCUGCCAAAAUGAUUCCUUUCACCCUGUGAUCAUUCUCUGAAGUAUUUUUACAGCUACACUUUAGAGAGAUGCAAAUCAGGUGAUUUGCGUGUCUGCAACUAAUGACCUUUGCACUGAAGUCACAGCAGGAGCAGUGCAGAUAACACCAGCUCUGCUGGUGAGCUGAAAGCGGGUCCUUUGGUGGCAGGAGCUCUGGGGUCCUGCCUGCUCUCCCUUGGGCAAGAAAGAGUCCCCUUGGGAUUAGAGCUGGGCUGGGACCCGGGAGGCCAGCCCCCAUUUCCCAGUGCUGCCCCUGGGGUCACUGCUCAGGGAAGCAACCUGCUGGUGCUCCUGGGUCUAAUUCA